UAAGGGCGCACGGUGGAUGCCUUGGCACUAGAAGCCGAUGAAGGACGUUACUAACGACGAUAUGCUUUGGGGAGCUGUAAGUAAGCUUUGAUCCAGAGAUUUCCGAAUGGGGAAACCCAGCAUGAGUUAUGUCAUGUUAUCGAUAUGUGAAUACAUAGCAUAUCAGAAGGCACACCCGGAGAACUGAAACAUCUUAGUACCCGGAGGAAGAGAAAGAAAAUUCGAUUCCCUUAGUAGCGGCGAGCGAAACGGGAAGAGCCCAAACCAACAAGCUUGCUUGUUGGGGUUGUAGGACACUCUAUACGGAGUUACAAAGGACGACAUUAGACGAAUCAUCUGGAAAGAUGAAUCAAAGAAGGUAAUAAUCCUGUAGUCGAAAAUGUUGUCUCUCUUGAGUGGAUCCUGAGUACGACGGAGCACGUGAAAUUCCGUCGGAAUCUGGGAGGACCAUCUCCUAAGGCUAAAUACUCUCUAGUGACCGAUAGUGAACCAGUACCGUGAGGGAAAGGUGAAAAGCACCCCGGAAGGGGAGUGAAAUAGAACCUGAAACCGUGUGCUUACAAGUAGUCAGAGCCCGUUAAUGGGUGAUGGCGUGCCUUUUGUAGAAUGAACCGGCGAGUUACGAUUUGAUGCAAGGUUAAGCAGUAAAUGUGGAGCCGUAGCGAAAGCGAGUCUGAAUAGGGCGUUUAGUAUUUGGUCGUAGACCCGAAACCAGGUGAUCUACCCUUGGUCAGGUUGAAGUUCAGGUAACACUGAAUGGAGGACCGAACCGACUUACGUUGAAAAGUGAGCGGAUGAACUGAGGGUAGCGGAGAAAUUCCAAUCGAACCUGGAGAUAGCUGGUUCUCUCCGAAAUAGCUUUAGGGCUAGCCUCAAGUGAUGAUUAUUGGAGGUAGAGCACUGUUUGGACGAGGGGCCCCUCUCGGGUUACCGAAUUCAGACAAACUCCGAAUGCCAAUUAAUUUAACUUGGGAGUCAGAACAUGGGUGAUAAGGUCCGUGUUCGAAAGGGAAACAGCCCAGACCACCAGCUAAGGUCCCAAAAUAUAUGUUAAGUGGAAAAGGAUGUGGCGUUGCCCAGACAACUAGGAUGUUGGCUUAGAAGCAGCCAUCAUUUAAAGAGUGCGUAAUAGCUCACUAGUCGAGUGACACUGCGCCGAAAAUGUACCGGGGCUAAACAUAUUACCGAAGCUGUGGAUUGUCCUUUGGACAAUGGUAGGAGAGCGUUCUAAGGGCGUUGAAGCAUGAUCGUAAGGACAUGUGGAGCGCUUAGAAGUGAGAAUGCCGGUGUGAGUAGCGAAAGACGGGUGAGAAUCCCGUCCACCGAUUGACUAAGGUUUCCAGAGGAAGGCUCGUCCGCUCUGGGUUAGUCGGGUCCUAAGCUGAGGCCGACAGGCGUAGGCGAUGGAUAACAGGUUGAUAUUCCUGUACCACCUAUAAUCGUUUUAAUCGAUGGGGGGACGCAGUAGGAUAGGCGAAGCGUGCGAUUGGAUUGCACGUCUAAGCAGUAAGGCUGAGUAUUAGGCAAAUCCGGUACUCGUUAAGGCUGAGCUGUGAUGGGGAGGAGACAUUGUGUCUUCGAGUCGUUGAUUUCACACUGCCGAGAAAAGCCUCUAGAUAGAAAAUAGGUGCCCGUACCGCAAACCGACACAGGUAGUCAAGAUGAGAAUUCUAAGGUGAGCGAGCGAACUCUCGUUAAGGAACUCGGCAAAAUGACCCCGUAACUUCGGGAGAAGGGGUGCUCUUUAGGGUUAACGCCCAGAAGAGCCGCAGUGAAUAGGCCCAAGCGACUGUUUAUCAAAAACACAGGUCUCUGCUAAACCGUAAGGUGAUGUAUAGGGGCUGACGCCUGCCCGGUGCUGGAAGGUUAAGAGGAGUGGUUAGCUUCUGCGAAGCUACGAAUCGAAGCCCCAGUAAACGGCGGCCGUAACUAUAACGGUCCUAAGGUAGCGAAAUUCCUUGUCGGGUAAGUUCCGACCCGCACGAAAGGCGUAACGAUUUGGGCACUGUCUCAACGAGAGACUCGGUGAAAUCAUAGUACCUGUGAAGAUGCAGGUUACCCGCGACAGGACGGAAAGACCCCGUGGAGCUUUACUGUAGCCUGAUAUUGAAAUUCGGCACAG
rnacentral:rRNA from 1 species